AGGAGUUUUCGAGUCCUGGCUACAGGAUGAACGCUGGCGGCGUGCUUAACACAUGCAAGUCGAACGGUGAACGAGGGAGCUUGCUCCCUCCGGAUCAGUGGCGAACGGGUGAGUAACACGUGAGCAAUCUGCCCCGAACUCGUGGGAUAAGCGUUGGAAACGACGUCUAAUACCGGAUACGACGCGCGAAGGCAUCUUUCUGCGCGUGGAAAGAACUUCGGUUCGGGAUGAGCUCGCGGCCUAUCAGGUAGUUGGUGAGGUAACGGCUCACCAAGCCGACGACGGGUAGCCGGCCUGAGAGGGUGACCGGCCACACUGGGACUGAGACACGGCCCAGACUCCUACGGGAGGCAGCAGUGGGGAAUAUUGCACAAUGGGCGAAAGCCUGAUGCAGCAACGCCGCGUGAGGGACGACGGCCUUCGGGUUGUAAACCUCUUUUUAGUAGGGAAGAAGCGAAAGUGACGGUACCUGCAGAAAAAGCACCGGCUAACUACGUG
rnacentral:rRNA from 1 species